UACGAGGGGGGCGAGCGUUGUUCGGAAUUAUUGGGCGUAAAGGGUGCGUAGGCGGUUUGGUAAGUCUUGUGUGAAAUCUACAGGCUCAACUUGUAGUCUGCACGAGAAACUGCCGGGCUUGAGUGUGGGAGAGGUGAGUGGAAUUCCUGGUGUAGCGGUGAAAUGCGUAGAUAUCAGGAGGAACACCUGUGGCGAAGGCGGUUCUCUGGGCCUUACCUGACGCUGAGGAGCGAAAGCGUGGGGAGCGAACAGG
rnacentral:rRNA from 1 species